GGGCGUAUGGUGUAGCGGUUGCAUUUCUCAUUUGCAUUGAGACGGUCCAGGGUUCAAACCCCUGUGCGUCCA